GCCUAACACAUGCAAGUCGAGCGGUAAGGCUCCUUCGGGAGUACACGAGCGGCGGACGGCUGAGUAACGCGUAGGGACGUACCCCAGAGUGAGGAAUAACUGCCCGAAAGGGUAGCUAAUACCGCAUAAUCACUUCGGUGCAAAGCUUUAGCGCUUUGGGAACGGCCUGCGUAUGAUUAGCUUGUUGGUGAGGUAAUGGCUCACCAAGGCGACGAUCAUUAGCUGGUCUGAGAGGAUGAUCAGCCAGACUGGGACUGAGACACGGCCCAGACUCCUACGGGAGGCAGCAGUAGGGAAUUUUCCACAAUGGGGGCAACCCUGAUGGAGCAACGCCGCGUGCAGGAUGAAGGCCUUCGGGUCGUAAAGCUCUUUUACCCGGGAAGAUAAUGACGGUACCGGGAGAAUAAGCCCCGGCAAACUUCGUGCCAGCAGCCGCGGUAAUAC
rnacentral:rRNA from 1 species